AGCGAACGCUGGCGGCAGGCUUAACACAUGCAAGUCGAGCGGGCGUAGCAAUACGUCAGCGGCAGACGGGUGAGUAACGCGUGGGAACAUACCUUUUGGUUCGGAACAACACAGGGAAACUUGUGCUAAUACCGGAUAAGCCCUUACGGGGAAAGAUUUAUCGCCGAAAGAUUGGCCCGCGUCUGAUUAGCUAGUUGGUGAGGUAACGGCUCACCAAGGCGACGAUCAGUAGCNGGUCUGAGAGGAUGAUCAGCCACAUUGGGACUGAGACACGGCCCAAACUCCUACGGGAGGCAGCAGUGGGGAAUAUUGGACAAUGGGCGCAAGCCUGAUCCAGCCAUGCCGCGUGAGUGAUGAAGGCCCUAGGGUUGUAAAGCUCUUUUGUGCGGGAAGAUAAUGACGGUACCGCAAGAAUAAGCCCCGGCUAACUUCGUGCCAGCCGCCGC
rnacentral:rRNA from 1 species